GCCGUUGACUGAUCUGUGUUUAGUACAGCCAGUGCUGAACUGUUAUGAUGUGUCAAUAAGUUAAAAAGGUGGACGGCACCGAUGAUGAGAGGAUAUGUGAGCGGGAUAUUGGAGGUCAUCGUCAUUGCAUGACAAAGGCUGUGGCAGAUUCAUCCUCAUCACUCAUUCAGCAUUUCCAUAGUUUUUUCUUCAGUGCGGUAGUACCAUGAAGGGGGGAGGAAGGGGUAAGGAACCACCUGUGGCAGGUGAGGUCACUGGCAAGCGCCCCAAACGCAAAUGCCUUCAGUGGCACCCACUUCUGUCCAAAAAGGCUCUGGAUUUCUCUGAGGAGGAGGAAGAGGAGGAUGAGGAGGAGCUGGAGAAGCAGCCGGUGCUGUGUGCCCAGGACCAGGGCCUGCAGAUGCAGUGUGGAAGUACAACAGAGGAAGUGGAGGAGGAUUCUAAUGAACAGCGUGCACGGCGGCCAAUGAAUGCCUUCCUCCUCUUCUGCAAACGGCACCGCUCCCUUGUUCGGCAGGAACACCCCCGCCUGGACAACAGGGGUGCCACUAAGAUCCUGGCUGACUGGUGGGCCGUGCUGGAGCCCAAAGAGAAGCAGAAAUACACGGACAUGGCCAAGGAGUACAAAGAUGCCUUUAUGAAAGCAAACCCUGGCUACAAGUGGUGCCCCACCACCAGCAAACCAGUCAAGAGCCCCUCCUGUCAGCCCGUCAGCAACCCCCGCAAAAAAGUUUGGUCCUUCCCUUCCAGUUCAGCAAAGGACUCCACCACUGCCAAGAAAGUGCCCAAAAUGGACAGCAUGCCACAGUUAAACUUUGCCAUGGCAGAUCCUACUAAGAUGGGAGGCCUCAGCAUGCUGCUGUUAGCAGGAGAACAUGCCCUCACCAACAGAGAGAUCCCUUCCAGCACCAAACCGAGUUUACCAGACACCGCCAGUGAAGGGAACUCCUUCCCAGGGCAUGAGGAAGAGAUGGUGUCUGGAGCGAUACCCAACAGAGCGGCCGACGUCACUGAGAGCUCUGUCAAGUCUGCUCUGUCCCCGCCUGCUGAGAUUUCUACGUCGUUAGCACCUGAAGGGAAACCAUGCAGACAGUCAGCUCUCUUCCAACUGGCUGAGAUGUGCUUGGCAUCUGAAGCUGGAAAGAUGGACUCGGUCGUAUCUCAGCCAGAGGACAGCUCCUCUUCAGGUUCUCUUCAGCAAACUGAAGCCCAGCCUGAGAUCAAGGAGGAGACGGCUGACACUGAUGACUGUCCUCCCUCCUCCCCCACUGCAGCCCCCUCUCCUCUGCUCUCCCUGUCUACCUCCACUGAUGCCAUUCCCUCACAACUCAGCAGCCAAAACGCUCGUGUCAAAAACAAGAGUAAGAAAAGAGAGAAGUCCGUUGAUGAAGGCGAGUCUUCCUGCUCAGCAAAGAAGAUCUUCAAGAAGUGUCACAAUGCAGGAUCAAACACGGACAGCGUCUUCAGCACCAUUGAGGCCGUGGCCAAAGGAGUCUGGAAGGACUCAGAGGAGAAGCCCAAGAAGAAGAUCCAGACCAGUCCAAAUGGAGGGAACACUGGUGUGUUCAGAAAGAAGAGCAAGCCCAAAGUAAAGAGCUGGGUCAAAGACAAAGAAGAGGAGAUGGAGGAGGAGACGGAGGAUGACAGAGAGCGGGACAACGCCUUUGAAGCAGAGGUGAAGGAAGAGACGACUGAUGUUAGUACCAAGGCAGAAUCAGAAGAAGCAACUCUGGGAAGCACAGACCUUCAGGGAAGCAUGGCCGAACCCCAGCACUCCCCCGGCAGCCCUUCACAUGCCAAGCUCAAAGAGGAGGACAAGGGGAAAGAGAGGACCAGCGAAGGGACCUGUGAGUCCAACACAGAGAGCCGCGGGUCCAGGAAGUCAGAGCGGAGCUGUAAAGGAGCUCUGUAUAAAACCCUGGUCUCUGAGGGGAUGCUGACUUCACUGAGAGCCAACAUCGACAGAGGUAAAAGAGGGGCGUUCCGUGCGUCUGACCACGAUGCAAACUGGAGUGAUGACAGCUGGACAACUUCUCAGAUGGGACCCAAUAACCCCAAGAAGCUGAAAAAGUCGAAGUCCAAAGACGAAUCAUCACAGGGCCUCGGGAAACUGGAGGAGGAGUUUGAGAGGAAGUUUAACAGCCUUCCCCAGUACAGCCCGAUGACGUUUGAUAAGAAGGGGACAGCCGUGACCAAGAAGAAGAAGGCUGACAGCUGCCCUGUCUCAGAGGAUGUCUCCAAAGCUGUUAAAGGGUCAUCUCCAUCUCAGAAAAAGACUUCAUUCCACAAGAUUGUUAGGAAGCACAAACACAAAAAGGAGAAACCAGAUGCAGUGGAAAAAGCAGCGUUGCAGAGCGAUUCUGGCGUGCUGGAUCCAGUUUCAAAAGCCAAAUCAUGUGCCCCCGUCGCCAUAAUGUGCCCAGACAUGCAGGGCACCACUAGUAUGGAGAUGCUAGUCGGUAGCCAGAAGAGAAAGGCUAGAAAGACCAAGAUUACACACUUAGUACGCACAGCUGAUGGCAGUGUGUCUCCGGCUGAGGAGGAAAAAUCUCGGGACCUGACCCAGGAACAGGAUACGAAGCCAUUACCCCAACAGAAUUUAUGCAAUGAAGACGGGUGCUACAGUAAUCCCAGGGCAGAGGAGGAGGAGAGGAGCGUGGCACCCCAGGAGCUCCCUGCUUUCUUCAGCCUGGCGGCCCUCGCUGAGGUGGCAGCCAUGGAAAACGUUCACAGAGGCCAGAGAGGGUUGGCUGACAGUCAGAAGAAAGAGCUCGCCCAGACUCCAGUCCUCAUUUCUUGCGCUGAUCAGUGAAACUCUGCUGCUUUUAUGAGAAGCCACAACAUGGACACUGGAUGUGGAGCUUUACUUUCCCUGGUGGUGACCCCCUCACUAAAGGGAGACUGACGUGGAAGCCUGGAUGGACUCCGGCUUCCCCCUGGUGGUGAAUUUACUUGAGCUCGGGUUCAUGUUGGAGAAAGAGCCCCUCUCCUCCGUGCUCCUCGCUAUCUCAGUGUUUCCCCUCAAGCCUUCCUUUGGCUAAGGAAGGAUGCCUUUUCUGAACUCCUCUCCCCGUAGACGCUCUGUUAGGGCCCGUGGACGAACCAAACUGUUCCCCACUGCAUGGCUUCCCCUGUAGAGAUGGAUGUCAUGGGUUCUUUGUGCCCCGUUUUAAGGUCAAGUCUUGCAACUUAAAAAUAGCAUUUUAGUUCAUCCGCUGUAGUAGUGAAGAAGAAGAAGGAUGGAUGCAGUCAAGCUGCUGGUUUGCCGUCUUCCUGAGGGUCGAUGGAACCUGGAAGAGCUGCCUAAAGGAGGUUAACUAAGAGCUACACUUUCUCUCAAGCAAUAUCCCCCACCUCCUUACCCAGCAGCCUUUGCUCCUCUGUGUAGACCAAUACUUAAAGAGUAACUAACCCCCAGAGUUUCAGCAGAGGGGUCUAUACCCUGGACUAGAAAACAAAAACGCCUUUAGAAGAUCAUGGACAGGGUCAUGCCCACUCCAUCCUUCAGUCUGUGUUUCUUUUGCUGAUUUGAUUUUGAGCCAUAAUCAUUCAAAUUAGGCUGAAUACAAGCUACUGGAGUGUUAACAGUAUGCUCCUGUAAACGACAUACACUCGUGUUAUUAACUGUAAUUUAACUGAAAGUACGACCUGAUCCUAGAGUGUCACAGUGAUGUGACUGGUAGAGCCCACUGUUUCAAUAAGCCCUUGUAGAAAAUGCAUUUUUACCAAGCUUAAAAAAGGACAAUUAGUGUUUAUACAAGGUGCUGAAAGGGAUUUUAGGACACAGGUUCAUCAGUUUUUGUCUCUUUUUCCUCCUCGUCUGUCCCCAGUGGCGAUCAUCUCCCCUUCUUUCCUCUCUGUCAUUCAGACAUUGUUUUAAAAUAAUCAUGUACUGUUGUCUGAUCAUGUGAUGUAAUGUUCCUGCAGGAAGUUUCCCAAACAAGUUCGACAACAAUAGUGCCAAAAAUAACUAUCCGUAUACCCCUUAAAAAGGGGAAAUCAUGAGUUUAAACCAGCCUUUCUCAACACCAUGUGGAACCCUCUGGCAUCAUCAGGGGAGCCUUCAAAAUGCUUUAAAAUGAUCAGAUCAUUAGCUAUCAGUGUGCUCAGUGCUGAUUUAAUCCUGCACUGUAGAACAGAGGUUACAGUACAUGAUCAUAUCGACAAAAAGCCUUCACAGAUGCUCACCUGCUUAUUUUAUGAAACAUUUUUGAUAAACAGUCAAAAAGCAACAACACAUAAAGAGUAAACCUACAAAAGGUUGGGAUUAUCCCAUCUCCUGUCCAAGUACAGUAUCAUUCUGUGGGAAACACUGGCUGUCCUUCUGAUACACUCUUUUCCUGGUAUCACGUCAACAUCAGGGUGAGCAAGUUAAUAGACUUUAGCCAGAAAUCAGACACAUUUUGAUUGUUUUGGUUUAUUUUGUUAAAAAUAUAUUUACACAAAAAUCUUUGUUAUUCAUACAUUAAAUUUUAAGAUUUUUCAUGUAUGCCAGGACAGAAGUUUGCGAAACACUGGUUUCAGACUGCUUUUAUAAACCUAUCACAUGUCUUUGAACUGUGGGCGUAACAGGAAAUACCACAGCCAACACAUUAGACACAUCUAAAUCAUGAACCAUUUUCACACACGGUCUUUUAUAUGAUAAAUUAUAUCUUCUUUAUUAACAGGAGUUUUGUUAUGAAUAUUAAAGCGUCUUCAAACACAGGCAGUAGUGCUGCUGCUGGAAACAGACACACACUCUAGAGAUGUUUAUUAUACACAUACAGUUAUUACACAGCACGUUUUACUUGGAAGAUAAUUAAAGGGAUAAUACGGCUAUUUUUGAAUACCCCAGCCUUAAUGUUGGCUGCUACCGUUGAACUUCGUGGUAGCUGUUUUUACUACAGAGAAGGUGUAAUUUUAUUUAAUCUGAUCAUUAUUCAAAAUGUAGAAAGAAGGUCUGUGUACAUUAAAAAAAUCCUAAUUUAACUGUUGUUUAAGGUCUUGUCAUACCUUCAAACAUAAUUGCCCACAAUUUUAUUUUUAAUUUUUAAUAUAAAUCUGCAGUUUUAAAUGGAAUAAUCCCACAAGUGUAAUGCAUUUCUCACAAAUUAAAUAACUUAUACAUUUGUGGGAUUAAUAUCAUUUUAUGGGGAGGUAAAAUGUCCAACUUUUAGAAAUUGUAAUAAUUUCCCACAGAUGUAGUAUUAACCCAGUGGGUUUAAGUCGGUUAAAGCUCACAUCAAAAAAUGUAGUCAUAGCAACUUUUUGUUCGCCAUGAAACAGGAAGUAGUCAUUUCAGAGUCUUGUAACACAGGAAGAGCUGUUAAUCUCUGAGGAAACUACAAAUAAGUAAUCAUUGUUCACCCUGCCAGGUUUGUUAUUUCAUUACAACUGAAGAUCCACUGAAAAUGAGUUUUUAGUCAUAGGAAGUUUGUACCCUAAAUGUUUAAGACUCUGUAACUUGCCUUGAUAGGGUUAAAUAUUAAACUUUGACUAGCUAGCACAGCCUUUUCCUGUGAGUUAUGUCCAAAUGUGAAAAAAGUUUACUUUGUCAGCUCUCUGUGACCCCUAAAAUCACUUAUAAGUGGGUCAGAUGAACCCCCUGUGUGGGUUUAAUUUAAGAAGAACCCAUUGGAUUUUGCAGAAUAUAUCCAAAUUAAUAUCAGUCUUCUCUUUCUUUUAUUCAAAAAUUUUUCACUACAACUUAUAGCUCUAUGAGUGUUUUAAAGAACGACUUCCUGUUUCAAGACAAUCAAAAAAAUUAGCAAUGACCAUGUGUUCUGGUGUGAAGUGACCUUAACUUAAAUGAGCCAAUUGGCAGGUUAAAAAAAAAAACGCUGUAACAAACAUCGACUACAACUCUGUUUUCUCAUGUUCACAUCAUAUUUAUGGAAAGUUAAUGUGGUUUAAUGAGAGGGUGAUUUCAUCUCCUCACAAACGUAAUGAAUCCCUGCAAACAUAAUAGUUCCUACAUUUGCAGUGUGUUACCGCUGUUAUGUCUGUGGGAGUUUAUUCUGUUUAAGAGAUUAUUGCAUUAAAAGCUGCAGAUCUGGAUUCUGUUUGUGGGCAGUUAUGACGUUUGCUGGUUUUACAGGUCUUUUGGAUAUAAUUCACGGUGGAUUAUGGGAUGGUUAGUUCUUUCAAUCAUGUAAAAAACAUGCAUCUUUGCCUUUUUGGCCAUUUUUUAAUCUAUCUUGGAACCUGUAGAGGGCAGUCAGUAUGAUAUUUCUAAAAAUAUGAUAAAUUUAAAACAUUAAAUCUCUCAUGUUGAGACUUGGACCCUGACUGAUUAUCAACUCUACUAAAUACUCAAAAACAAAGAUUUUCAGCCAAAAAAAAAGCACUCUGGGGUUUUAGUUGCUCUUUAAAUCGUCACAUCUUAAGUUUAACCACAUUUCUUCCUUUUAUAGAUCUUUGUUUCUCUCUGAAGUGUGUAAGCUCUUUAAAGUAGGUCCUUCUAACCGUUAUCGGUCCUUUUAAUCCAAUGUUGUUUUUCUGAGGUCAAGAUUACAGGAUGUUGUCAAAGAGAUCAUGUUCCUAGAUGAUGCAUGUUAAAUAGACACUGAGAUUCAUGCAGCAUCUCCACACACGGGCCUGUCUCUUCACAUUUGGAGCUGUGGGUGUGACUGCGACUGCUUCGUGUUUUUGAUAUGUUCAGAGUGAUUUUUGACACUUCCUGACAGGACAAACUAAAAGAAGUGGGUCUCAGAGGACUAGUUUAUCUUAACAUAGUAUUUUCCUAAAUUAAUGCAUUGUUACAUCGUAAUGGUGUUUUGCUUAAGUAAGCCCUUGUGUGCAAAUGGUAGAAGUAUGCAAAAAUUGUGAUUUCUAUGGAGCUAUUAUGGUUGCAAAACUAUAUGCAAAUGUGUAAAUAGAUCCUUGAUGCAUACACAGAUCCACAGACAAAGCUCAUAGCGAUUUUAAUUUGUGUUGCCAGCAGCUUCACUGCACAUAGCAUGCUGGGAUACCUAGCCAUGAGCUAAAGGCUAGGCACCUCUUUAACAGCUUUUCUCCCUCAUUUUGUCUUACACAUGCAUCUAAAGGAUGUGGGGACAUAUUAUGUCUUACAAAGGUCUUGUGUGAUGCUGGUUUGAUUUAAACAGCUCCCCAGUUUAAGACAGCAGAGUGACCAGUAGAAAAAGUUUGCAAAAGUCACAUUGAUAAUCAUGCUGUCUUUUGUAAUUUUUUUUUUUUUUUGGCUUUAAGGGCAAAUACUUGUAGGUCAUUGUUUUUACACAUUUGCAAGUAGCUUUGCAACAGUAAUCACUCUGAACCUUCAUCUCUAAUUUGUCUUUAAAAUUUAACAAAUGAAUGACAACGUUUCCCUAACAGUUUAAAGAAGAAUGCUUUAUAGUAAUCCUAAUAAUAAUAAUGUCUAUUUUUGUUUAUGAGAGAAAAUUACAUCACGGUUCUUCCACUGGUGGACAUCAGUGUCAUUCUUUGCAAAGACAAAGAAAUUGUCUUCCCCCCCAAAAAAGAGAUAUAUUUGCUCAGAGCAAGUGAGUUUAUUGACUUUUGCCAAAGAAAAGGGAUAGGUAUAUUCAAAAAGAGAACAUCUUUUUUCUUUCUGAUAGAGUAAGCGUAGCAGUUGCACUGCAUUUUUUUAGGUGUGUAAAUCUUCAGGUAACAAUAUCAGCACAAUUCAUCCUGUGUCUCUGCAAGGACUCCCUCAGUAUUUGAACCCAGAGUUGGACGUGCAACAAAAGGGCGCCACUAAAUGCCUCUUUUAAUACACAGUAUUUGCACCUUAUGACCCAAACCAAAAUAAUCAUGGUAUUUGAAGAAAAUGUAUAAUUUUUAACCCUCUCUAUAAAAGAAUAUGCAUUUUAACUAUAUCUAGGAGAAUUGAGUCAAUAAGAAACCACACUUCUACCAAACAGCCAUAAUAUUGUCAUUCCCCUUGUCCUCACUUUUCUAUCUAGAAAAAGCUUCUAUAAAGUUGAAAUUCCUAUAUUAGCUACCAAAAUGACUAUAAUACCCUAUUGUGCUAGUACUGUCUUCUUGAAUGUAAUCAUUUUGUACCUGUAUUUUUCUAAUUCAGUCUUGAUUGUACUGUAUGUAUGCUAUGAUGACGUACUGUUCCUUAGGUGCAUAGUUCGUUACGACCAACACGAUAGCUGCUGCGCUGCGAACUCGAUGGAAAUUUGUGAUUUGAGGUCCAAAUGACUCGUACCUUGUGAGCAUCCAUGAGACUGAUAAGUGAGAGAUGAUUCUUGCAUUUUGAAUGGUAGGAAAAUAGCUUUUCCUGGUUUGCUACUUCUCUUUCCUUUUUGGUAAAAGUGAACGUGUGUUCAGGACAGUUUAUAAAACAGGGACACUCCUGCAAUCACAAACAUUGAAUGCUUGAGUUUCAACUUAUUUAUUACUGUUCCUUUUUAUAGGUUUAGCUGAAUAAAAACAAUAAAAUAUACUGAAACUGAAUAUGCAUCCAUUUAUACAUGAACAUGUAUAAGGUUAUCUACCCUUUACUGGAAUGUAGAUGAUUGCUUUUUUGUGAAAAGGGGUUAUUUCCAGAUCUUUGAAGUCUCUUUCCUCUGAUAGUUUGUACUACGUGUUAAAACUUAUUUAUGUCACUAGUACUCAUCAUGACUGAUUUGUUUUAUGAUUGUUGCAGCCCACUUGUAUAAUGCAGCCUUGCCUUACUGGAACCCCUGCUUUGUGAGGGAUCCCUCAGUCACCCGUGCACCCUUUGUACCCCACCUCACCCCACCCCAGCCCCACCCCGCCCCGCCCCAAUCACAACUUUUAUGUCAUAACACUGUUUGCUGAUGCAACUAUUAUUCCUUUUACAAUUUCUGCUGACGCAACUAUUACUUCUUGAACACCUAUUAAAAUAGCAUCUACUCCA